AGCGAAAUUCCUUGUCGGGUAAGUUCCGACCUGCACGAAUGGUGUAACGAUCUGAUAACUGUCUCAGCCGUGAGCUCGGUGAAAUUGUAGUCCCGGUGAAGAUGCCGGGGUACCCGUAACGGGACGGAAAGACCCCGUGAACCUUCACUACAACUUUGCAUUGACUUUGAGUAAACGAUGUGUAGCAUAGGUGGGAGACUAUGAAGCGGGCACGCUAGUGUUCGUGGAGUCAACGUUGAAAUACCACCCUUUGUUUACUUAGAGCCUAAUCCGCUAAGCGGAGAAAGUGCAUGGUGGGUAGUUUGACUGGGGUGGUCGCCUCCAAAAGAGUAACGGAGGCUUCCAAAGGUACCCUCAGCACGCUUGGUAACCGUGCGCAGAGUGUAUUAGCAUAAGGGUGCUUGACUGUGAGACCGACGGGUCGAGCAGGUACGAAAGUAGGGUAAAGUGAUCGGUGGUUCUGCAUGGAAGGGCCAUCGCU
rnacentral:rRNA from 1 species